AUCAAAACAACAUACCCACUUCUCAAAAUCAAAACCACCCAUUCUCUCACCCACCCACUACCGAAGCUUGCAAUUAGGAAGCCUAAAAAAGCCAAUACCUAUUCGUCUCGUGUUGCGGGGCAGUGGCAGUGACGCUCUGGAAGGAUACUCUGGAACCAAAUGGGCGACGUUUGGAGGAGAAGGCCCUAAUGACGUAGCGGACACUGCAAAUACUAACAAGGAGAAGUAGGAGGAAGAGUUGCAGAGUAGGAUCGGCAUCUGCGUCACCCAUAGCUGCGAUGGGUGAUUGAAAGCCAGCGCGUUGCUCGAUAUUUGAGGAUAACAUGGUGGUGGUGGAGGAGGAAACGGAAAGAGGUGUAACUGGUGAGCGGCGACCACGUCCUUGAGGUCGACAUUGAGGGCGUAGCAGGUGGGCAUCAGGUGCUGGUAGUUGACGAGCACUGCCAAUUCUUCUAUACCAUUGUUUGUAUCUCUUCCCUUUGAAGCCAGAAUCCUUUCUCUAUUGGGUAUUAUGUUUGUGCAUCAAUUUCUUUCUCAAUUGACUGUUAAUUAUGAAAUUGAUUAUUGAGUGCCAUGAUUUAAGAAUUGAAAAUGGGAUUCUGAGAUUGUGUUUAGAGUUGAGAAUUGAGAUUAUGAUUGUUUGAAUUUAUGAAUUUUUUGUUCUGGAUUUUUGGCUUGUCUUUUGAGAAGAAUAUCAAUGGCUG
rnacentral:misc_RNA from 1 species